AGUGAACGCUGGCGGUAUGCCUAACACAUGCAAGUCGAACGGCCGCACAGUAAGAGCUUGCUCUUACGGGUGGCGACUGUCGGACGGGUGAGUCAUACAUCGUAAUCUUCUUUUUCUUGGGUGAUUUCGUAGGGCCACUUACGCUACCACCUCAUACGUCCUACGGGUUAUAUCAUUGGUUCUUCGCACCUUUCCCGUUUCUUUGAGCCGAUGUCGGAUUAGCUAGUUGGCUGGGUAAAGGCCCACCAAGGCGACGAUCCGUAGCUUGUCUGAGAGUAUGAUCAGCAACACGGGAAAUGAGACACGGUCAAGAAUACUACGGGAGGCAGCAGUGGGGAAUAUUGGACAAUGGGCGAAAGCAUGAUGGAGCAAUACCGCGUGGGAGAAGAAGGACUUCGGGUUGUAAAGCCCUGUUGUUGGGAAAGAAAAGAAGCAGGAGAAAACAACGAUGUUAUGACGGUACCCAAAGAAUAAGCACCGGCUAACUACGUG
rnacentral:rRNA from 1 species